AGUCCUGGUGCCCGCCUUGGCCUAGCCCCGGCCCCGGGACGGAAGGGGGCCUCUGGGGUGGCAGCCUGGGCCCAGUAGAGCUUUGCAUCUCUUGGAUAUCUUUCCCGGGCGCAGAAGCUGCGGGGCUUAGGGAGUCGCCAUUGCGCUGGAAAGUCCUCCCGCCCACGGAGACCCCAGCAAACUCCGAGUGUCACACAGUCGCCUCUGGCGACCCGUGCGGGCCGGAGCCGUUCGCGCACAGGCAGGGCGGGUGCUGAGCGUGGAAACGGGGCUGGAAUUGGCCGAGCCAUGCCUUUCCGGGAUGCCCACCGCCAGUCAAAGGGUUGGGGGUGGUCUCUGCACCUUAAGUACUAACCUGCCGCCCACGCGCCUCCUGACCACAGCACCCCGUCGGCUUUCUAAUUCUGUGAGCUGCCCUCGUGGGCGUGGCCUCCCUGUGGAGCUCCCCAUGUGCCUCCCCUUGGUCCAGCCUGCAGCUAGGAAGUGGGUCACAGCGACGGGGCUGGGCUGGGCCAGGCCAGGCUCCGGGAGAUGUGGAAUUGGCGAAACAACUGCCCCAGUAGUAUCCUCCGCCUAGGACUCCAAGAGGUGGCGAAUUGGGGCACUACGCCCGGGAACCAGGGUGGCAGGGCUAGAUGUCCUCUCACCAGACUGCCCAGUGAAGGUGCUGUCACUUUGAUGAAUUAUCAAGGCUUUGUAGUGGGUCUUCUACUGGACAAAGGACAAACUGGAGACUCCCUGGAUCAAAUGUGUUGAAAAUGUUAUAGUGCUGUCAGGAAGUGCUGUUCUGGAAUACAGAAUGUGGCUGCCGUGAGUGGAGUGUGACUAUGAGAUAGUCGCCUGACUGGAGACAAUGAAGCCUCAGGCCAAGGAUGCUCCCUCCUACUCAGCCCUGUUUAGUGGGAUUUUUCAGCCCACUGUAAAGCCUACUGCUGCCUGUAAAGCCACCUAAGUGCAUCACUUGCUGGUGUUCACCAUGAUAACAACAAUUUAUGGGGACAGAAUAUGUUUCUAGAGCUGCUGGUGCCACUGCUGAUGUUACUGGGUUCCCUGAAAUAAAACACCACAGUGCAGGUGAGUACCAAAGUGGGGAGAAUUUUUAGUUCCUUUUAGAGGUGCUAAAUCAAUAUUGUUGAUUUCCCAGUACCUUAGAAUAUUUAAUGAAAACAGGUCAGGUGCAGUGGCUCACGCCUGUAAUCCCAGCACUUUGGGAGGCCAAGGCAGGUAGAUCACUUGAGGUCAGGAGUUCAAGAACAGCCUGGCCAACAUGGUGAAACCCCAUCUCUACUAAAAAUACAAAAAUUAGCAGGGCGUGGUGGCAGGCACCUGUAAUCCCAGCUACUCCGGAAGCUGAGGCACCAGAAUCGCUUGAACUCAGGAGGCGGAGGUUGUAGUGAGUCGAGAUCAUGCCACUGCACUCCAGCCUGGGCGCAUGGUGGCUCAUGCCUAUAAUCCCAGCACUUUGGGAGGCUGAGGCAGUCAGAUCACUUGAGGUCAGGAGUUCAAGAACAGCCUGACCAACAUGGUGAAACCCCAUCUCUACUAAAAAUAGAAAAAGUUAGCCAGGCGUGGUGGCAGGCGCCUGUAAUCCCAGCUACUCAGGAGGCUGAGGCAUAAGAAUCCUUGAACCCAGGAGGCGGAGGUUGCAGUGAGCUGAGAUUGCACCAUUGCACUCCAGCCUGGGCAACAAUAGCGAAACUCCGUCUCAAAACAAACAAACAAACAAAACAAAAAAACUUAAUGAAUACAGUCCCUCCUAAGAUUUUCAAAUAAAUGAAAUACCACAUUAAUCAUAUUGUUUUAUUUUUAUCAUUACAUUAAAAAUCAAAUAGUAUCACUAGGUUUAUAAUGAAAAACAGCAGACCCUGUCCCAGCCCUCCACACUCUCAGUUUCUACUCCCUAGAUAUAAUCUCUAUUCACCCAGCUACCUCUUCUGGUAUUUAUCUCCGUAUUUCUAAAUAGCAUGCUUAUACUACUAAUUCUUAAUUUUUCAGUUUGGGCCAUUAUUUUACUUUUUCUAUAGGAAAUAAGAUAUGUGUUUAUACUCUGAAGACUGGUAAUACACACAUGUAUUUCUCCAUCUUCCAUCCUUCAGUUUAUCUAUAUCACCCUAUAUAGGUAGAGUACUAUUCAUUAUACUAUUAUAAAGGUAUGUAAUUGAUCCAGUUAGCAUAAUAUGAUUAUAUUUCCUUUAUUUUGAUUGAAGUUAACUAUUGCCUCUUUCUCCAUGCAACUUUCUUAAGUACCUAGCAUUCAAGUGUCUAUAAUCAAUUUAUUCCAAACUGUCCUUUCAAAACAUUGAAACACAUCAAGUAGUCUAUCAAUCAGUUUAUUUUUUAAAUUGGAGACAACUCUCUAGGAGCCCAUCAUCCUCCUUCACUGUGGACUAGUUUUUCUCUAAGCCUACUGCACAGCUUUUGUCCUGAAAUAAUUUUAUCCUUUCUACCCUGUUUUCCACUUCUUUUUGUUUUUCUGAAAGAUUUCCACCUUCCAGCUUUUCUUUUGAAUUUUAAAAUUUCUGUUAUGUUUUAAAUUUGCCAGAAUACUUUCUUGUCAACCUCUCUUUUAAUUAAAAAUAUUUUUUAUUUUUGUAAUUUAAAGGUUUAUUGUAAAUUGACAAGUACAAAUUGGAUAUAUUUAUGGGGUACAAAGUGAUGUUAUAUGUAUACAAUGUGGAAAGAUUAAAUCAAGCUAAUUAACAUAUCCAUCACUACAAAUACUUCUUUGUGGUGAGAAUACUUGACAUUUACCUUCAGCAAUUUUGAAAUAUACAGUACAUUAUUAUUAACCAUGCUAUACUCUUUAUCUCAAAAAAUGUAUUCCCUUUAUCUAACUGAAACUUCGUACUCUAACCAACAUCUCCUUGUUUCCCCUACCACCCCUUCCCCCUACUCUCUGAUAACCAUCAUUCUACUCUGAUUCUGUGAGUUUGUUUUAGAUUCUACAUUAGGAAUCAUGUGACUUUGUCUGUCUGUGCCUGGCUUAUUCCAUUCAGCAUAACGUCCUCCAGGGAAGCACUUUCUUGUCCACCCCCUUCCCCUUUUUAAAUAGCAGUCUGUUCCAUUUGGUGGAUGCAGUAUCUUAUUACUCUAAGAAUAUUGCUAAUGUUUUCUUUUGUUUCUUGAAUUGUCUGUGUUGAAUUUUUAAGGCUUGUUUCUGUUUUGUGUUGGAAGCUUUUCUUAAACGUCUAGAGAUCCUUGGCCAUCCAUUCAUAUGUAAGAGUGGGGCACUAGAAAGCCAAUAGAAAGUUCUGUGUACACUGGCCAGUGAGGUGGCUCACACCUGUAACCCCAGCACUUUGGAAGGCCAAGGCAGGCAGAUCACUUGAGGUCAGGAGUUCAAGACCAGCCUUGCCAACAUGGUGAAACCCCAUCUCUACUAAAAAUACAAAAAUUAGCCGGGCUGGUGGCGCACGCCUGUAAUCCUUGCUACUUGGGAGGCUGAGGCUUGAGAAUCUCUUGAACCCGGGAGGCAGAGGUUGCAGUGAGCUCUCCAGCCUAGGCAACAGACCAAAACUCUGUCUCAAAAAAAAAAAAAGUUCUGUGUACAUACUUAGGACUUGUAAUUGGUAGGACAUACUGCAGUAUUUUUCAAACUUCUGGUCGCAAACCCAUUAGUAGUUUGUGAAAUCAAUAUAAUCAGUUUUAUUUCCCCCAAAUGACAGAACAGAAUAGAAAACACCACCUCAGAAUACAUCUACAUAGAAAGAGAAUUAUUUUAUGAAACUUUGGUUUCUUACACAUAUCAUAUAUACAUAUUAUGUACUGGUUUGAUCCCAUAAAAUGGGAGUUUUUUUUUUUUAUUGUGGGUGUUUCUUCAAAGAAAUUUGAAAAAGUACAACUUAGGAUAAUCAAAGAGAUCUCCAACUGUCAGGACAGGUAGGUCUUUUCUCUUAGAGAGGUUAAGUUCCGGCCCAGUGCGGUGGCUCAUGCCUGUAAUCCCAGCACUUUGGGAGGCUGAGGCGGGCAGAUCAUGAGGUCGGGAGAUUGAGACCAUCCUGGCUAACAUGGUGAAACCUCAUCUCUUCUAAGAAUACAAAAAAUAAGUCAGGCAUGGUGGCACGCGCCUGUAAUCCCAGCUACUCGGGAGGCUGAGGCAGGAGAAUCAUUUGAACUCGGGAGGCGGAGAUUGCCACUGCACUCCAGCCUGGGCGACAGAGCAAGACUCCGUCUCAAAAAAAAAAAAAAAAAAACGGAGAUAAGUUCUCCUGGAGUAAAAUUCUCUAAACUUUUGCCUGCAUGCUAGUCUGAUAGACAGUACUCAUUCAUUCAGGUAUUGGUUGAGGACUUACUAUGUGCCAAACACUGUUCCAGGUUCUGGGUAUACAUCAGACAAAACUGUCUCCUGGGACUAGAUUCUAGUGAGGGAGAUAAACAGUGGGUUAUAUAGUAUUUAGAUCUUGCGCUAGGUAACACAGCAACAGAAGGGAAAGCUGAACAUAUGCAUAUAGAUGCUGGUAAGAGGGUGGAUGUGGUGGAUGAAUGAAGUAGAAAACAAGGUCAUCAUCUGAGAGUGAAAAUGGGGAGGAAGUGUUGGAAGAAAAGAGAAGGUGUGAAAUAAUUUAGGACACAGCACAGCAAACUAUAGCCUUUGGUCAAAUCCUAUUUUGGUGCAAUCCACAAGCUAAGGAUACUUUUUUACUUUUAAACGGUUGGGAAAAAAAUUUAAGAUGAUAUUACAUCAUAGCAUGUAACAAAUAAAUGCAAUUCAAAUUUCAUUUAUUUACAUAUUGCCUCUGGCUACUUUCAUGCUACAGUGACAAAGCUGAAUAAUUGCAAAAGAGACUAUGACCUGCUAUGCCAAAAAUAUUUAUCUGGCCCUUUACAGAAAAAGUUGGCUGACUCCUGAUCUAGGAGGAUGGGAAGGUAUAUAGAGUAGGGAAAUAUGAUUAUCAGGCAGCAUUAAGGCCUGAAGGUUAUGGACAUGAAUUUAAAGUAAGACUAAACAGCAUAGUUGCUGCACAGAAGUAGGUACAAAGGCAAAGAGCUGGCUUUAAAGUUGUGAUUUUGCAAACUGAAAAUGACAAAAAGGGGUAGACUAAGUUAAAAGUACAUGCAAGUUGCAUGAUUAUAAUGAGUGAUCCUGGGAUUUAAGUUGAUUAUGACAGGAACAGAAGGAACUUGGAGAUUAGGGACAAUGAAAAGGUGGUAGUGAAAGGAGUGUUGGAGUUAAGUUACUAGAUGUCUGGAAGACAGACUGUGGUGGUCAGAUAAUGAGAUAGAUUAUGGAGGGGUUACAGUUUUUGGUAAUAACGAGAGAGAUCUAAGGUAUGACUGAGAGUGAAUGGAUGAGAAUAGCAGAGAACAAGGUCAGUGGAAAACUACUCUUCAAAGAACCUAUAGUCAGGGUGUUGAAAGAUUAAAAAUUGCUAAGAAUUAAAUCAGGAGUAGUGCUGCGGGAAAUGAAAUGAGCAGUGAACUAAACUUACUGAGAAAUGAGAGGGGAUGACCCAGGGGUUUGUAGAUUUUGUAGAUGAUAGCAAUGAAGAGAAGAGAUAUUAUUUGAUGGUAUGGAACUCAAAGCUGAGAGUUUUAAGGGAAGAUAGGAGACGUGUCUAGAAGUAGUAAUGAGGAGCAAGAACAUCAUCUACCCCAUCUCCAGGACCAGUAAUAGGAGGACUGUGGGAGAAAAAAAUCACCUUGAGAGGGCUGUAGUGAAAGCAGUAUCCUAAGGUAGCAGCCAAGUUUCAGACUGCUGGGAUCCAAGCCAGGGAAAGGUUUCUGACUCUUUAGAAUGCUGAGCUUUAGGCAUGAGCCACCACACCGGGCCAAUCCACUGUUUUUUAAAAAGUUGUCAAGAGUUUUGUUAAGGGGUCAGACAUGUCUGACUGGUUGACUUUUCCCAGAAUGCUGCUUAGUCCCUCAAACACACAAAUUCCUGAUGGGUCCACCCACUAGGCUUCUGGUAUACACAGACAGAUCUGAAUCCCAGUGGUGGAAACAACCUAGGCUGAUUCUGAGUUUCCCACUGCAUUUCUUCUUCUAAUUGUCCCUCUUUUCCAUUCCUGUCCUUUCCCUCAUCCCUUACCUGCUGAAAAUGAAUCUUACCAUUUCUAAAAUUCCACUCUUCCGGGGGCAUCCACAGCUGGAUCCUCUUCUUCACUGCCAUUCCUCAGGCCUUAGAACAGGUCCCCUUCUUACACCCUUGUGCUCCAACUGGUCUUUAUGAAACCUGUUCACUUCAAUAUACUUUUAGGCCAGGCUCACGCCUGUAAUCCCAGCACCUUGAGAAGCUGAGGCCGGUGCAUCACUUGAGGUCAGGAGUUCGAGACCAGCCUGGCCAACAUGGUGAAACCCUAUCUCUACUAAAAAUACAAAUAUAUAUACAUAUGCCAGGCAUGGUGGCAUGUGCCUGUAGUCCCAGCUACUCAGGAGGCAGAGGCACGAGAAUCACUUGAAUCCAGGAGGCGGAGGUCGCAGUGAGCCGAGAUUGUGCCACUGCACUCCAGCUUGGGCAACAGAGCAAGACUCCGUCUCCAAAAUAUAUCUUAUCUAUAUAUAGAUAUAGAUAGGUAUAUAUAGAUCUAUAUAUAGAUAUAUACUUUCAAUUCUCCAAUUGUUCCCGUAUACCAUAGAGAAACUCUUAUGAGCUCAGUUUCUGCAGGACUUACAAAACAGGGUAAUUGCCUCCUCAUUAUGGUCAGCUCCAGCACCAUUCAAAUUCUCUGUCCUUACCCAUUUCCAGAACAAGCAGGAUGAAAAUCACUUAUCACUAUAGCACCCACCCUUAAGCACAAGGUUAUCCAAUGUUUUCAAGGAGUCCAGCAUUUCAUAACAGAACCCCCUGAUUAGUUUGCUAACUGAUGAAAGCAGAGUUAAAUUCCUGUUAUGCAGGUUUAGAGUACAGGAGAUUCUAUGUCCCCAUAUCCUCUGCCCCCCAAUCUAUCCCUUGGCAAACACAAGUACCUCUACUAGAAUAACCAUACUCCCUCUUCCCAACCCACUUCUCUUGUUUAAGGGCACUGGCAGUGUUUGUGUAUGUCAACAACAUCGGAGUAUCUGGGGUCCCUGGAGAGUUAGAUUUUCUGUAUUAAUUACAGACUGGGAGAUUACUCUGGCUCCAGUAAAAGCAAUACCAGGAUUGAAGUCCCCUCUCUGAUUAUGGUGGCUGGGAUUUGCUGGAAGAGGCAUAGGUCCAGAAAAGAAUGUAAAAAAGGUACUAGAAAGAAAGAAUAAGGCCUAUAGCCAUCAGGCUGCUAGAACCUUUGGACAAGUCACUAUCUAAAAGCAGGUAAAGACCCAGCUUUUUGUCCAUCUGGUCAGGCACCUGGUGGCGUGAGUCUUUCAGAACAUACUGGUCAGGCGGUGGCUCACGCCUGUAAUCUCAGCACUUUGGGAGGCUGAGGCAGGAGGAUCACUUGAGGUAAGGAGUUGGAGACCAGCCUGGCCAACAUGGUGAAACCCUGUCUCUACUAAAAAUACAAAAAUUAGCCAGGUGUGGUGGCGGGCAUAUGUAGUCCCAGCUACUUGGGAGGCUGAGGCAAGAGAAUCGCUUGAACCCAGGAGUCGGCAGUUGCAGUGAGCCGAGAUCACACCACUGCACUCCAGUCUGGAUGGUAAAGUGAGAACCCAUCUCAAAAAAAAAAAGGAACAUACCACAACCCUUCAAUAAAAAGGUCUCUGAGAAAACAGUUGUCACAAUGUCCAUGUACUUGUACUUGACACCAUGUGAGAAACAGCCUCCAGUAGGUCACUGGCCAGACAGGUGAGUAUGAAAUAGGACAACACUGUAUUAUAGCUCAGGAUGCAUUGAUAAUAGAAGUUUGAAGCAGCAGCUGACAGACGAGUCUAAGCAAUAACACACAGACUAGUUUGUCUCUGCUCUUGAGAACAGCAGCCUGCAACCCUUCAAACAAGCCAUAAUGUGUGAGUCAACAAGAAGCUACAUUUGAUUGACAAUGCCAUUUUAAUAAAGAUGUUCUAGAGUCAAAGAAUUUGGCGUGAGAAAUUGUGCCCAGGCUGGGGUGCAGUGGUGUGAUCAUAGCUCACUGCAGCCUCUGAGCUCCUGGGCUCAAGGGAUCCCCCUGCCUUAGCCUCUGAAGUAGCUGGGACUACAGGCAUGCACCACUGUGCCCAGCUAAUUUUUAAUUUUUUUGUAAAGAUAGGGUCUCAUUAUGUUUCCCAGGCUGGUCUCGAACUCCUGGCUUCAAGUGAUCCUCCCACCUUGGACUCCGAAAGUGCUGGGAUGUGCUCAAUAUUAAAUGUCAUGAAGAUACUGUUAAAAUAAUAAUUGUGCUCAAUAGUUGUAUCUUUAUACUAUUCUGAGCCUUAGGUUUCUUUUCUGUAAAACUGAACAAUACUACCUUCUUUGCAGGGGAUAGCAUAGUCCCUGGUUUACAGUAAAUGCUUUCCUCCAAUUGAAUCAAGAUAUACCUCUCUGCUACCUCCCCAUCUAUUAGAAAUGCUUGCCUUCUGGUACCAGAAAAAAAAAAAAAACACCUUCCACAUGACAACUCUGAAGACAAUAAUCACACUACCAUUGUGUUUUUCUGGAUGUGCCACACAUUGUAUACAUGUCCCUGCCUUACAAAUGACAUCUCCUAUACACAGAGUCCUUAAUAUUUCUACAUGCAAUGUAUAAUCAAUUAAAACAUCAGUAUCAUCUUAAUGUGAAUUUCUGUUAAUCCAAGUUCUCCCCCACUAUGCAAGUGCAAUAAAUAUUUAAAAAUGAAGGUAACAAUAUAUAUAUAUAUUUUUUUGAGACAGAGUCUCGCUCUGUUGUCCAGGCUGGAGUGCAGUGGCGUGAUCGCGGCUCACUGCAAGCUCCACCUCCCGAGUUCAUGCCAUUCUCCUGCAUCAGCCUCCUGAGUAGCUGGGACUACAGGUGCCCACCACCACUCCCAGCUAAUUUUUUGUAUUUUUAGUAGAGACAGGGUUUCACUGUGUUAGCCAGGAUGGUCUCCAUCUCCUGACCUUGUGAUACACCCCUCUCGGCCUCCCAAAGUGCUGGGAUUACAGGUGUGAGCCACCGUGCUUGGCCAACAAUAUAUAUUCUUAACUGUGUAAAUUUUAAUUUGUUGGUUUUAUUCUUUUGAGAUUAUUAUGAAUAUUGAUUCUGUCAUUCAUCGCUUAAGGACCAGGCAGGUGAACCACUUGACAUUUUUUAUCAUCAGAAUAAAUUGACAAAAACAAAACAAAAUACUUUGAGGUGGAAUGGAAGUAUCUUGAGUAGUAGUAAAACCAUAGUUCUAGAUGGUGAUAAUCAUUGUCAUAAUGAAAGCGUGUUGCUUGUUGACUAUUUAACCAUGCUGUUUAAGUCAUAUUAAAAACAUCAAUACGUCCCUCUCCCUCUCCCCUCUCCCCUCUCCCCUCUCCCCUCUCCCCUCUCCCCUCUCCCCCUUCCCACGGUCUCCUUCCACGGUCUCCCUCUGAUGCCGAGCCAAAGCUGGACGGUACUGCUGCCAUCUCGGCUCACUGCAACCUCCCUGCCUGAUUCUCCUGCCUCAGCCUGCCGAGUGCCUGCGAUUGCAGGCGCGCGCCGCCACGCCUGACUGGUUUUCGUUUUUUUUUUUUUUGGUGGAGACGGGGUUUUGCUGUGUUGGCCGGGCUGGUCUCCAGCUCCUAACCGCGAGUGAUCCGCCAGCCUCGGCCUCCCGAGGUGCCGGGAUUGCAGACGGAGUCUCGUUCACUCAGUGCUCAAUGGUGCCCAGGCUGGAGUGCAGUGGCGUGAUCUUGGCUCGCUACAACCUCCACCUCCCAGCCGCCUGCCUUGGCCCCCCAAAGUGCCGAGAUUGCAGCCUCUGCCCAGCCGCCACCCCGUCUGGGAAGUGAGGAGCGUCUCUGCCUGGCCCCCCAUCGUCUGGGAUAUGAGGAGCCUCUCUGCCUGGCUGCCCAGUCUGGAAAGUGAGGAGCGUCUCUGCCCG
rnacentral:lncRNA from 10 species